rnacentral:tRNA from 1 species
GCGAGCGUUGAUAGGUAGGAGGAUUUCCCCAGACUACGAAUCUGAGGGUCGGACGUUCGAAUCGUUCCGGGCGCGCCA